UAUCUCAGGUUUCUUUUGAAAAUACACAAAUCUUCUGCCUUUUACUAAAGGUUUCCGUGGAGAGAAAUGCUGUUAAGAAGACGUGUGUUGUUUGUGAAGAGCGUGUUCCUAUUA
ensembl:snRNA U5 U5 spliceosomal RNA